GGAAAAGUCAGUCAAAGAGGGUAAAAACCCCGUAGAUGAAAUUUGGAAGGCACCUAGGAGGAUCCUGAGUACGGCGGAACACGAGGAAUUCCGUCGGAAUCCGGGAGGACCAUCUCCCAAGGCUAAAUACUCCCUAGUGACCGAUAGUGAACCAGUACCGUGAGGGAAAGGUGAAAAGCACCCCGGAAGGGGAGUGAAAUAGAACCUGAAACCGUGUGCCUACAACAAGUCAAAGCCCGUUAAUGGGUGAUGGCGUGCCUUUUGUAGAAUGAACCGGCGAGUUACGAUUGCAUGCGAGGUUAAGUUGAAGAGACGGAGCCGCAGCGAAAGCGAGUCUGAAUAGGGCGUUUGAGUAUGUAGUCGUAGACCCGAAACCAUGUGAUCUACCCAUGUCCAGGUUGAAGGUGCGGUAAAACGCACUGGAGGACCGAACCCACGUACGUUGAAAAGUGCGGGGAUGAGGUGUGGGUAGCGGAGAAAUUCCAAACGAACUUGGAGAUAGCUGGUUCUCUCCGAAAUAGCUUUAGGGCUAGCCUCGGAAUUGAGAAUGAUGGAGGUAGAGCACUGUUUGGACUAGGGGCCCAUCUCGGGUUACCGAAUUCAGAUAAACUCCGAAUGCCAUUCAUUCAUAUCCGGGAGUCAGACUGUGAGUGAUAAGAUCCAUAGUCGAAAGGGAAACAGCCCAGACCACCAGCUAAGGUCCCAAAAUAUAUGUUAAGUGGAAAAGGAUGUGGGGUUGCACAGACAACUAGGAUGUUGGCUUAGAAGCAGCCACCAUUUAAAGAGUGCGUAAUAGCUCACUAGUCGAGUGACCCUGCGCCGAAAAUGUACCGGGGCUAAACAUAUUACCGAAGCUGUGGAGUACACCUUUAGGUGUAUUGGUAGGAGA
rnacentral:rRNA from 1 species